rnacentral:lncRNA from 1 species
UGGCUCUGAUGUUCAGCCAGGCCCGAGACGUCUGACCAAUAAUCACGUCCCAGCACGCGCGCGGAUGCUCGCUGAUCUGAGGCGCGCGACGGUCGCUUCGAGCCUUCAACACAUGGGCGGUGAGAACCAAAUAAACCGGAUACUUAGAGCAUUUCUAACUAAGUUCUCAUCUCACCCCUACUCUUCAUUUGAGAGUUCAAAGCAAAAAAAACAAUCUCCAAUCGGUCUCUCAUCCCAACCCCAUCUCUCAUCCACCCCCUCGAGCUCUCAGAUGUAGGAGCUCCUACUCGAACACUCAUCCAGUCGCACGCCCAACAGCUGUCGUCCGCGCCUUGACUCAGAAAUCUCCGAAUCAAGGCUGCUGCCGCGGCGAUGGCCGCCUCCCAGCGAGCCCCAUCUCCGGUUGUCAAAUCGAGUAGAAAGACUAAGAGGAGAGAGAACUCGUAGAUCCACGCUGCCGCUGCUGCUUGCCACCCGCCUACACUGCUGCCGCGUAGGGACCGUGAGGGUAUGUGUUCCCACCCACAUCUGCGAGAGGCCUGUGCACUGCCCUUCACGCCGGAUGCGAAGGCACGCC